rnacentral:pre_miRNA from 1 species
AAGUAAGGCAAUAUUUCUUUAAAUGGGUAAAUUAUUUUUAAAAAAAUUGUACAUAAUUUCUCCCUUAAAUCAAGUAUCUUGU